CAGGUGCUGGACUUGCCGACACCCCGGGUCCAGCUGCUCUGCUGCACCUGGGACGUUGGGGCAAAGAGCAAGCGGCUAUUUCUACGCUCAGUGCUCAGAACCGUGAGCGCUAAGAAUGGUUUGUAGCCGGACAUGC
ensembl:snoRNA